rnacentral:tRNA from 1 species
GGAUGGGUGGCCGAGCGGUUUAAGGCACCGGUCUUGAAAACCGGCAGGGGUUUCCGCCUCUCGUGGGUUCGAAUCCCACCCCAUCCGCCA